GACGAACGCUGGCGGCGUGCUUAACACAUGCAAGUCGAACGAUGAUGCCAGCUUGCUGGUGGAUUAGUGGCGAACGGGUGAGUAACACGUGAGCAACCUGCCCCUGACUUCGGGAUAACCGCGGGAAACCGUGGCUAAUACCGGAUAUGACGCGCUAUCGCAUGGUGGUGUGUGGAAAGAUUUAUCGGUUGGGGAUGGGCUCGCGGCCUAUCAGCCUGUUGGUGGGGUGAUGGCCUACCAAGGCGACGACGGGUAGCCGGCCUGAGAGGGUGACCGGCCACACUGGGACUGAGACACGGCCCAGACUCCUACGGGAGGCAGCAGUGGGGAAUAUUGCACAAUGGGCGCAAGCCUGAUGCAGCGACGCCGCGUGAGGGAUGACGGCCUUCGGGUUGUAAACCUCUUUCAGUAGGGAAGAAGGCCUUCGGGUUGACGGUACCUGCAGAAGAAGCGCCGGCUAACUACGUG
rnacentral:rRNA from 1 species